rnacentral:rRNA from 1 species
AGAGUUUGAUCCUGGCUCAGGAUGAACGCUAGCGGGAGGCUUAACACAUGCAAGUCGAGGGGUAACAGGGGUAGCAAUACCUGCUGACGACCGGCGCACGGGUGAGUAACGCGUAUGCAACCUGCCUUUAACCGGGGGAUAGCUUUCGGAAACGGAAAUUAAUACCCCAUAAUGUUGAGAUACGGCAUCGUAAUUCAACUAAAACUCUGGUGGUUACAGAUGGGCAUGCGUAACAUUAGCUAGUUGGAGAGGUAACGGCUCACCAAGGCUACGAUGUUUAGGGGACCUGAGAGGGUGAUCCCCCACACUGGUACUGAGACACGGACCAGACUCCUACGGGAGGCAGCAGUGAGGAAUAUUGGUCAAUGGGCGCAAGCCUGAACCAGCCAUCCCGCGUGCAGGAAGACGGCGCUAUGCGUUGUAAACUGCUUUUCUGAAGGAAGAAUAACGGCUACGUGUAGCCGGUUGACGGUACUUCAGGAAUAAGCAUCGGCUAACUCCGUGCCAGCAGCCGCGGUAAUACGGAGGAUGCAAGCGUUAUCCGGAUUCAUUGGGUUUAAAGGGUGCGCAGGCGGACUAAUAAGUCAGUGGUGAAAUCUUUCGGCUUAACCGGGAAACUGCCAUUGAUACUGUUAGUCUUGAGUUCGGUUGAGGUAGGCGGAAUGUGUAAUGUAGCGGUGAAAUGCUUAGAUAUUACACAGAACACCAAUUGCGUAGGC